CAGGGCCCUGGGCCCACACCCCCGCGCGCACCGCACCGACGAGGCUGGAGCGGGAGCGGCUGUGGCGGUGGCCGGGCCGAGGCCGCGUGGGGAGGGGCUCCGAGGAGUCAGCCUGCUCCAGUCUUACGGCAGCAGUCCCUGACGUCCUGGUGGAGAGGCGAUGAGGACACAGCGUUGAGACAGAUGCUGAGAUUGAGAAAGGUAAAGCGACUUGCCUGCAGUCACAAGUGAUGAAAUCAGACUGAAAACUAGAUGUUUCUUAACACUCUAGCCCUGCUGUGAAGGUUUGCAGAGCUUCCUGAUCAAUGGGGAGUCAACCUGUGUCCUUCAUUCAUCCUCUCUCUAUUGUAUCUCUUCCCCACUUCUGAUGUUCUCCACGACCUAGGAGCAACCGGUAGCCUAUGAAUUGCCUUAGAUGCUCAGUGUGUGGUUCUGACCAAUGUAGGUCCCUCUGAGGCAGCAGUCUUUUAAAAUCAUUACCUUGGAUCUAUUUAGGAAAAACUUGAAUUAGAAGCAGAUCUAUCCAGAGUCACUUAUCAAGAGUACUGGCUUUAUCCUAUUUGGAUUAAUAGACCAACCAUUUAGCAUUACCAGGCAGUUGGCACCAUAUAUGAGAGAAUAGAUCUUUCAUCUCUAUUAGCAGCAAAAACACUUAAUGAAGCAAAGGCAGCCUUUUCUACCACUACAUAUAAGUAUUGCUUUGAUAUUGCAAUCUUUCUUGUAGUUGAUUCAAUAAACCCUCUUUCUUCUGGGUGUUGUUAUCAUUUGAAAAUCUAUAAGGAGUAAAAUCUUUCCAGAUUAAUGGAAUUCACAAGUCACAUGCUAGGCCUGGCCAGGGCUUGCUCGAUACCCUUCUUCAACAGGACUAUUCUAAUACAUUCCCAGGAAGAGCAUAUAGGAUGAGAAGAGAAAAGGAUCCAGGCCUGAACCCUAGGAGGACCAGUAUUUGGGGAGCCAGCAGAGGAGAAAAAGGCUAAGAAGAAAACUGAGAAGAAACAGUAAGAGAAGAAUCAGCAGAGAGUAAUGUCAUGGAAGAAAUCCAAGGGAGGAAAGACUUUCAAGAAGGAAGAAGUGGUCAACAGCAUCAAAUGCAGCAAAGAUUUCCAAUAAGUUCAAGGCAAAAAAGUAUCCUUUGAAUUUGGCAACAUUGAAGGCCUGGAUCCCCAUGAUAAGAUCUGUGUCAGCAGGAAAUGAGGGCAGAAGCCACAAUGCAGUGAAUUGAACAAAUGAAAAUGAGGAAGUAGAAUAAGUGCAGACCUUCCUUUUGAGAAAUUUGUAAGGAAGAAUAGACUGUGGUGAAGAGUGAUCUGAAGUUAAAGAUUCUGGUUUUGUCUCUUUUUUUUAAGAUGAUAGAGACUUAAACAUAGAUAUCAACUACAAAAAGAUACCAGUAGAGAAGAUGAAUUUGAAAAUAAAAAAGAUGAUGAGAGAUGGAGGGAGAUCCUGGAGGCAACAAGAGGAGAUAGGAUCAAGGGCUUAUGGAGAAGAAUCAGACACCUUAACUUUAUAUGCUGACAGGAAAGGGGAGAGGGUAAGGGUAUAGGUAGGGUAAUUAAUAAAGUGGAGCAGGAAAGAGGUUGAGGGGUAUCGUGCCCAGUGAUAUCAACAUUUUCAAAGUCUUUAGCUGAGGAAGGGAAGAAGUUUGGAUGGAGAACAAGAAAAACCAUACAAGGUAAUUAUUAUCCUGUAGUGAACAUGUCAUUUUUGUUGUUAAUCUGCACAGCAUGCGCACCCCCCCCUUCUUAUUGGUAAUAACACAUAAGUGUUCUUUAAAGAUCCAUCCCGCCCCACUCUAAGUCUAUGUGGUUCAGACAGGAAUCACCCCAGUCUCAUACACACGUCAGUGGCUAGGUUCCUAACCCAUCAUCAGGUCAAAGUGAUCAGUUCAGAAAUGGGCACAUGAUGAAAUCAGAUCCAGGAAUUUUCCUGCAACCGUUGGGCAAGAGGUGCUCAUAGAAGGCAAACCUGGUGGACAUCCUGCCACCGGGAGAGAGCCUGCCUGAGAACAAAACCAACUCAAAGAAAGCAGAGCUAAGGGGUGGAGAGAGACAAAUGCCUGGUAACAUCAUUUUAACAUAUAUAUUUACCUCUGCCUAAAUUCACAUAAGUCAGUAAAUUUCCUUUGUACUUAACAUUAAUUUGAGUUGGGUUUUAUUACUUGCAACCAAGAGUUAUGCUGAAUCUGUGUGGCAGAUAUUGCCUGCCGGAACUCAUCCCCACACCCACUCUUCUCUAACCUCCCCUGGAAGGGGCUGGAAAUCUGAAAACCACAUUUCUCAGAUGCUUUUGUCACUUCGUUCCAGUUAGGUUCCGCCAGUGGGAACCAUCCCAUGAGGAAGGGAGAGGUCCUCCUGCUCUUGGCAGUGCCUCUGGCAACAGCAGCAGCAGUGCUUGCUGCCUAGCAAAAGCGGAAGUGGUUCCAGGAGCAUCAGCAGUACAAACUGCAGGUGCAUUAGCAGCUAGUGCAGAUUUGUGGGUUCCGGCUCCUUGAUCUUUGGGCUCCCCUCUUCUCCCUUUUGCUCCUCGAAACCAAGAUUAGUGGUAGUUUCCUGGUCUCUGGGUAACUCUGCUUUCCUUUUUAUGUUUCUCCAGACUUCCCUUACAACUUUGUUGUUGUUGUUGUUGUUUUUAAGUA